UCACGUAGGGCGCGAGCGUUUGUCCGGAAUUAUUGGGCGUAAAGAGCUCGUAGGCGGCCUGUUGCGUCCGCUGUGAAAGCCCGGGGCUUAACCCCGGGUCUGCAGUGGAUACGGGCAGGCUAGAGGUAGGUAGGGGAGAAUGGAAUUCCUGGUGUAGCGGUGAAAUGCGCAGAUAUCAGGAGGAACACCGGUGGCGAAGGCGGUUCUCUGGGCAUGUCCUGACGCUGAGACACGAAGGCCAGGGGAGCAAACGGG
rnacentral:rRNA from 1 species